UACGUAGGUGGCAAGCGUUGUCCGGAUUUAUUGGGCUUAAAGGGUGCGUAGGCGGCCCUGUAAGUCAGUGGUGAAAUACUCCAGCUUAACUGGAGGGGUGCCAUUGAUACUGCAGGGCUUGAGUGGAGUCGAAGUAGGCGGAAUUGACGGUGUAGCGGUGAAAUGCUUAGAUAUCGUCAAGAACACCGAUAGUGAAGGCAGCUUACUAGGCUUCUACUGACGCUGAGGCACGAAAGUGUGGGGAUCAAACAGG
rnacentral:rRNA from 1 species